rnacentral:rRNA from 1 species
GACGAACGCUGGCGGCGUGCUUAACACAUGCAAGUCGAACGGAAAGUCCCUGCUUUUGUGGGCUGCUCGAGUUGCGAACUGGUGAGUUACACUUGAGUUACCUGCCCUUCACUUUGGGAUAUCUUCAGGCAACUUGGUCUAUUACCGGAUAGGAUCUCCUGCUGCUUGGUGGGGGUUGGUUAGUUUCGGCGGUUGGGGAUGGACUCGCGGCUUAUCAGCUUGUUGGUGUGGUAGUGGCUUACCAAGGCUUUGACGGGUAGCCGGCCUGCGAGGGUGAGCGGGAACAAUGGGACUGAGAUAGGGACCAGACUCCUACGGGAGGGAGAAGUGGGGAAGAUUGCAAAAUGGGAGGAAGCGAGAGGCAGAAACGGCGGGGGCGGGAUGACGGCCAACGGGUUGUAAACAGAAAUCGCAUGUGACGAAGAGGGAGUGACGGUAAUGGGUAAAGAAGCACCGGCUAACUACGUG